rnacentral:rRNA from 1 species
CCUACGGGUGGCAGCAGUGAGGAAUAUUGGUCAAUGGGCGCGAGCCUGAACCAGCCAAGUAGCGUGAAGGAUGACUGCCCUACGGGUUGUAAACUUCUUUUAUAAAGGAAUAAAGUGAGGCACGUGUGCCUUUUUGUAUGUCCUUUAUGCAUAAGGGUCGGCUAACUCCGUGCCAGCAGCCGCGGUAAUACGGAGGAUACGGGCGUUAUCCGGAUUUAUUGGGUUUAAAGGGAGCGGAGAUGGGUUGUUAAGUCAGUUGUGAAAGUUUGCGGCUCAACCGUAUAAUUGCAAUUGAUACUGGCAGCCUUGAGUGCAGUUGAGGUAGGCGGAAUUCGUGGUGUAGCGGUGAAAUGCUUAGAUAUCACGAAGAACUCCGAUUGCGAAGGCAGCCUACUAAGCUGCCACUGACAUUGAUGCUCGAAAGUGUGGGUAGCAAACAGGAUUAGAUACCCGAGUAGUC